UACGUAGGUGGCAAGCGUUGUCCGGAUUUACUGGGCGUAAAGAGCGCGCAGGCGGUCGUUCAAGUCGCGUGUGAAAGCCCCCGGCUCAACUGGGGAGGGUCACGCGAUACUGAUCGACUCGAAGGCAGGAGAGGGUAGUGGAAUUCCCGGUGUAGUGGUGAAAUGCGUAGAUAUUGGGAAGAACACCUGAGGCGAAGGCGGGUUGCUGGGCCGACACUGACGCUGAGGCGCGAAAGCCAGGGGAGCGAACGGG
rnacentral:rRNA from 1 species